AGGAUGAACGCUGGCGGCGUGCUUAAUACAUGCAAGUCGAACGGAGAACCUUUGUAGCAAUACGAGGGUUUCUUAGUGGCGAGCGGGUGCGUAACGCGUUGGUGACGUGCCCCGAAGUGUGGAUAACAGUCCGAAAGGACUGCUAAUACCUCAUGUGGUCAUCGGGAUUAGAAUCUGAUGACUAAAGCAGUAAUGCGCUUCGGGAGGGGCCUGCGUCCCAUCAGCUAGUUGGUAGGGUAAUGGCCUACCAAGGCUACGACGGGUAGGGGACCUGAGAGGGUGGUCCCCCACACUGGCACUGAAACACGGGCCAGACACCUACGGGUGGCAGCAGUAGGGAAUAUUGGGCAAUGGGCGAAAGCCUGACCCAGCAACGCCGCGUGCAUGAUGAAGGUCUUCGGAUCGUAAAAUGCUUUUCUGAGAGAUGAGAAAGGACAGUAUCUCAGGAAUAAGUCUCGGCUAACUACGUGCCAGCAGCCGCGGUAACACGUAGGAGGCAAGCGUUAUCCGGAUUUACUGGGCGUAAAGCGCGUGCAGGCGGUUCGGUAAGUUGGAUGUGAAAGCUCCUGGCUCAACUGGGAGAGGUCGUUCAAUACUACCGGACUUGAGAGCAGUAGAGGGAGGUGGAAUUCCCGGUGUAGUGGUGAAAUGCGUAGAUAUCGGGAGGAACACCAGUGGCGAAAGCGGCCUCCUGGACUGUUUCUGACGCUCAGACGCGAAAGCUAGGGGAGCGAACGGGAUUAGAGACCCCGGUAGUCCUAGCUGUAAACGAUGUGAACUUGGCGUCGGCAGGUUCAAAGCCGUCGGUGCCGAAGCUAACGCGAUAAGUUCACCGCCUGGGGACUACGGCCGCAAGGUUAAAACUCAAAUGAAUUGACGG
rnacentral:rRNA from 1 species